AUGUGUGAAUGAGUGGGGGCUUGAAAAUUCACAAUGAAAAUAAAGUUCCUAACUCUAAAAGCUGAAAAAAGUUGGUUGGCACAUGGAGUGAAAGGAAAGUUGUUUCUUACAGAUAUCACUGAAAUCUGUGAUUACGAUCAUGCACUAGAAGUUCUAUAAUUGAAUAAGAAGGGUGAAAGAGAAGGUCAGGACUGAUUCUGUGGCAUCUUUUUAGAUUAAUAUGUGUUUUACUGAAGAAUGUUAUGGAGACUUGACUUUUUAGUCAAAAGUCUUUUCCCCUACUUAAGGUGGACAUCUUUGUGGGGCUGGCUCUGAAUGCAAGAAGUUUGUAGAUUGCUGCAGCCUUCUGGGAAGAUGAUGCCUGCAGUGCAGAACAAAUAAGAUAGGUGUAAGAGGCAUCACAGUUUCUGCGGGAAGGGGACAGAGGAGCAGCCUGAAGGAUCCAAUCUUUUGUGGGAUUGGCAGUCAGAAGAGGUCACUUCCCCAUAAAUCCUAAGGAUCUAGGGGUCUAAAACAAUGUAACCACUGCUUUCUCUGUAGAGUCCCAAAUACUGCCUCCUCAGGGGAAGUUGUUAAGGAAACUGAGCUUUGUAACCGCUGCUCAUAUGGAGCACAUUGUCUUCUAGGAAACAUAAAUUGGUUUUAUGUUUCUCUAACAGAGUACUUUCAAUAUAUCUGCCAUGCUGAGCAUUGAUGAGCCAUAGUCUGUGGCACAUGGGAAAGAAUUCUAACAACGUUCAGAGGGUUGGAGACUUAACUGGUUGUUGGAGAAGUAAAAUUUCAUUGCCGCUUUGAAAAGUAUCCAUGAAGAUGAACUUUGCCUUUCUAAAGGUCUUGGUACAUGUAUUUCUUCUUAGAGCAGGCUGUUGUGCAUUGUACCAGUUGUCUUCAGGAGACUUGCUGGCCUCGUCUGUUAAAUGUCAUCUGGAAAAUAGGGCAUUCCCUUUAAGGGAAUGAUUAAAUAGGAACAUUGCCUCAAGGGGUAGUUUUCUGCACAUUUUUACUGUGACUGAUAAAACCAUAUGGGUCUUGUGAGUCUAUUUUAAUUGAAUCAGCUUUUAUUGAAAGACAGAAUUGCUAGAAAUGCACUGAAUGGAUGAAUUCCAAGUAAAUGAUUCACACUGUAAAACAGUUAGGAAUAUGAAAGCACAAAUCAGAGCUGGCUGAAAGUUAGAAUUCAAAUAUGCAUAGGAUGUUUAGAAAUUGCAUUGUUACUCUGCAAUAUGCAGAUGGAACUAUAUUAUGUUUUCCCAUACAGACUACUAGCUCCAUUGUUUGCACUGUCAUAAUUACAUAGUUGUAUAAUUUGUGAAGGCAGUGUAAUGUACUGUUAACACUCUAGGAUAUGACAGAAGUAAUGGUAACGAGAAAAAAUAAUUUUGGAUAGCAGUGUAAAUUUGUUGAAGAUGCAUUUAAUCAUGAACUGCUUCAAUGUAGAAAUAAAGACUAGUUUCUCACAA